rnacentral:lncRNA from 10 species
CAGGUACUCAGUCAGGAUGUAUUUGAUGAGUGAAGUAGUAAGCAAAAUUAUACUUGAAUCAAUUUGUUCAUCCAUUCAUUGAAGUGCCUAAAAUGCACCAGGCACUGUGCUAGGGGGAUACAUAGAAUAGAGAGCUGUCUAAGGGGAGAGACAGACAAUAAACAUGCAAACAACAAUAAGACAAAUCCUGAAAUGCAGGAAAAAAGAUGAAACAAACCAGUGAAUGCAAUGAUUAUUGUGUCAUCUAAUACUUGAAGAUUUUAACAAAGCAAGUGUUUCUUCUGUGGCGAUCCCUGGUGGCCUCCAGACCUUCCAUUCAUGUGGCUUCUGACUCAGCUCAGCCCUGGUGUUGUUUCUGGGGAGGGUCCAUGUUCUUGGAGUGCUGCAGUAUUCAUUGCUUUGUCAUCAGUCAGAUGGGCUGGGAAUCUGGAUUCUGCGACUGACUAGCUGUGUGACCUCUAGCAUGUAACUUAAUCUCUUUGGGGCUUACCUUUUCCAUCUGGAAAACAGAAAGAAUAAAACUCUCAGAGUUGGUAUGAGGAUUAAAGAUAACACGUGGGCAUCAUUUAGGCUGACAUCCGCUAAAAGUGUGAGAAAACAGAAAACCCAACUCAGUCUGACUUAACAAUAUGGACACUUGACUUCCAUAAUAAGAAGUCCAGAAGUAGGUAGGACCCAGGGAACACAACUGUUUUAUUUUUCUUCCUCUUCUUUUUUCUCUUUAGGCUAGUCAAGUGAAGCAAUGGGAGUGGAGAUGGAACAAAGAAAUCUGCAAUUGGUUGUGAUCAAUUAGUUGUAAACACUACUGCACUUGGACCAACCUCUUCCUUUUCCUGACUGCUUAGGAAGGAUGGAAUGUAUUUCCUUCCUUCUGGGAGUGUUUGAAUGAAGAUUAGACUCUCCUUGACCAUGAAUGAAGAGCAACCAGUUUUUUAGUAUACAGUGAUUUAGACUCUGGGUCUAGAGUGUAGAUAUCAUGGGCACUGUGAAAGCACAGAAGGAGAAAAGGUUUUUAUGUGAGUAUAUGGGAGAGGAAAUAGUUUAUUGUCAUAAGCUUUUUGGCUAUGGCCUCCAUUACAUCUCUAGCUUUUGGAAGGCACUAAAUUGAGGCCAUUCAAAUCCAUGUCCACCUAUCCUUUGCCCGUCACGAGACUGAUGGCUUAGGAAGCAUGUGGUCUAGGUACUAGAGAGGGAGCCUGACCCACCUACCUCACCGCUGCUGCUGAAUUUGUGCACAACUCUCUGACCUGGUUCCAUGUCACAAAGGGUUUCAUUCUCUCUGAUUCCCUGAAUCCCCAGCUCUAGCCGCAGAUCCUGGAACCCUAGCAUAUGCCUGAAGCUGAAUAUUUUACUUGCCAGAGUAAGAGUUUUUACAUAGACUCUGUCAUCUUCUACUGGCCCUCCUCUUAAACUGAGGCAGCGGCUGCUAGCUACUCACCAAACCUAUUUUACUUUCUUUUUCUUUUUUUUUUUUUUUUUUUGAGACAGAGUCUUGCUCUGUCGCCCAGACUGGAGUGCAGUGGUAUGAUCUCGGCUCACUGCAACCUCCGCCUCUCAGGUUCAAGCGAUUCUCCCACCGUAGCCUCCUGAGUCGAUGGGAUUACAGGUGUGUGCCACCACACCCAGCUAAUUUUUGUAUUUUUUGGUAGAGAUGGAGGUUUCACUAUGUUGGCCAGGCUAGUCUCUAACUCCUGACCUCAAAUGAUCCACCCACCUCAGCCUCCCAAAGUGCUGGGAUUACAGGCAUAAGCCACCGUGCCUGGCCCCCCAUUUUACUUUCUUCUUUAACAUAUAGUUAGAAUGAAAACAUGUUGAAGGGAUGAUGGCAUUAGAAAAUUACCACUGGCCACUAUCACAGUAAUAAUUGCUUUAGGCAAGAAUGAUCGAUAAAAGCUAAAAUUAAUGGGCAAAAGUAUGAUGAGAAACAGGAUAUUUAUACAAUCGCAAAGUGCCUCCCAAUAAGAUACUUAUUAAAAAGGUAAAAAUGGUAAUUUUCAGUGGAGAAAUAUGGCAGACACCAUAGUAACCAACUGAUCAAAGGGAACAUUGGCAUUAAUGGGACAAAUCAGCAUCACGUUUCUCUUGUCAUGAAGCACUGAGAAGGCCACAGCAUUGCUUCUGAAAUAUUGCAACAAAAAUGAAUAACUUGAAUCUAAUGAUGAGGAAACAUUGGAGAAAUCCAAACCUUGGAACACGCUACAAAACAACUAACUCGUACUCUGAGAAACAUAUCAGUGGACUGGAUUCCAAACAGUGGCUCAUGCCUGUAAUUUUAACACUUUGGGAGGCCAAGUUUGGUGGGGCUUUGUGUCUGAAUUCUGGCCAAUGGAACCACGUGGAGGCCUGGCCCAGAACAUCUCCCUGUGGAUUCUCUCAUCUGGCAACUGGAUGCCUACACGAAGGGUGAUUUUGGAGUCAUGUGUUGGAGAUCACAAAGCUUUUGUCAGCCAGGUUCCUGAAUGACUGCUAGACACCAUGGGCUGAACUUUAUGAGCUCCAGCACCACCUCCAGCCUUCAGUGACUGUCUGGAGCAGGCAUCCGGAUGGAAGAGAAGGGGGACAACCAUGAACUUGGUGACCCACGGUCAGCCUGAUUUCCCUUGUGGACACAUUUAUGCCCAGUGUGCAUUCCUCCUGAGGUCUGUUCCAAGUCUGGAGGCAGCAGAGUAGAGUGGAGAGAACAGUGGACUUGGAAUCUCACCUCCCAGAUUAGAGUCCUGGAUCUGACUUUGAUUGCUGGUGCUGCCUCGGGCAAGUUACUUUAGCUGUGUGCAUCUCCAUUUCCCCAUGGAUAGAACAUGGGUUUUGGGUAGAAGUGUCUGAUAGCUGUACUGUGCUUUACGGUUCAUGAGCACGCACACAUAGGCCCAUAAUAUCAUAUCUCUGGUCACCCUGGCAGGUAGAUAUUAUUGCCCCAGGUUUCAGGUAAGAAGACUAAAGACCAGGGGUCAAUUGCUUGCUCAGAGUCCCACAGCCAGCAGCAGCCAGGCAGGACACCAAGUCAGAGUCUAGAUUCCGGAUCUUGCCCUCUUCCAAGUGUACCACAUUCUUCUCAAAGUGGCCUCUCAGGUCUUUUGUCCAGAAAAUUUUGAGACUUUGAUGAGAAGCCCAUAUCUGCACACUGGGGAUUAGGCCAGAUAACCCUGUGUGUCCUUCCAGGCCUGGUAUUGUGAGGCUGAAGCCUAGUGCCCCACACUCCCUUCCUCACCCCUUAGAGAAAGAUAGAGACUCCAGGGCCAGCCUGGUGGGUGCUGAACCUGCCCUGCUGAGCCAAGCCCAGGAGGCAGCCAAGGUCCUACCAGUGACCUUACCCUGGGGGCCCCUCCAGGUAGGAGCCUGGUUGGAAAAGACAGACCGACUUCUUCUGGGUUGGCUGGAAAAAGAUGACAUACUCAAAGCCUUGUCCUUCCACUUGGAUGCACCUGGUGAAGAUGCGACAGUCACCUUUGUCUGGGGAGAGAUAGGCAGUGUUGCAGCCGGAGAAGGGAGGGUAUGGUCAGGAUGCAGCACCAUUUGGUUGAGUCUUGCCUCUGGUACAAGAUUAAGGAGAGAAAACCAGAGGACACCAGGUCCACCCCCAGGGAGCCUUCCCUCUGGGAGCAGAGGCACAGUUGCUGUCCUCACAGAGCCUUUCUGUCUAGGGCAGAAACAUGCAGGAAGUGCCCUGGCUGAGAAUGGAGAUAGGAUCAGGGCCAGGGCAAGACUUUAAGAGACCAUAAGCAUUGAAAAUUGAAAAUGUAAUUACUCAUGUAACUCACAUAUAAUUCAAAAGAAUAAUAGUAAACAGUAAAAUAAGAGCAGAAAAGUCCAUCAAAGUUCUGAUUUUUUUUUUCCAAGACAGCUACCACUACUACAUCCUUUUUUGGAAGUAUCAAAUUCUUUGAAAAAAAAUUAUGUUGGUAUUCCUGCUUUGUUUGUGCCAUAAACCCAAGGGUAGUCUGUCCCCUGUACCACUCCUUCAUCACUAGGCAGGAAGACAACAUAUAUGAGUGAGAGAGACAGGGAGAUACACAUGCGUGCACACACGAGUGCACACACACACACAAGAAGGUGGAAGCUCUAUCAUUAGGAUCCAUUAGGAUCAUUAGGUGUUUCAGGAGUGCUGCUCCAGACCCCGCACAGCAGGGAUGAUGUGCAGGGCCUCAGUGGAAGGGGUGUGGGGUCCAAGGGCUUUCAUGGGGUUGGGGCGGAAGGCUUGGGAUGAGGCUUGAUAGUUAGGGAGGGGCAGUCAGUGAGAAGUCGGGGCAGGAGCUGGGCUGGCUGUCCUCCAGUGGGGACAUGCUUGGCUGGGAGCGAAGGUGGGCCCACCAGGGUGUGCUGCUUCAGAUGGGAGGAGGGGAGCUGGAGACCUGAGAGGACACCCGCCGCCUGUUGCCUGGGGCUGCAGCAUCAGGGGUGGAGUUGGACAGCAGGAAGAACUCGCUGAGAACUGGAAGGCGGUCUGUGAAGUUGCUUCUCAGUCUUAGAACACAGGGAAGGGCGGCUGGGGUGUGUGUACUCAUGGUCCUGUCCUUACCUGAGGAAACUGCCAGUCCAGAUGGGAGCUUGAGUCCCCGGAUGUGGUCUCUGUUGGACUUGAAGGAGGGCAGCUUGAUCCAGCCGCUAGACUUAGUCUUCUCCAGAAAUUCUUGGUACAGGCUCAGCAUGUCCGAACACCAGCUGGCAUUGGGAAGAGCAUAAUCCUUCAAGUCUGUCUUCUCUGGCAAGAAUCUUGAGAACUGGGCAGGAAAAAUCAGAAUGACUAGACAGCAUCCUGGAGGGGGGCUGCUGCCUGGGCUCGGGACCUCUAAACAGCUGUUCCUGGGUGCUGGGGCUUCUCAAUCCCUUCUGCCAGAGUAUCGAUCCAAGGGAAAGGGCCCAUAUUCCUUGCAGGGGGGCUGCGGACCCCUAUGGGUGACGGGGCAUAAGGAUGCUAAAGAGCAAGGGAAGGGCGGGCAGGGAGUGGGGCCAGAGAUGAUGGGCAUGCUGCUCGAUGUGGUGCCUUACCCUUGUUCUGCUUAAAACAUGUGAGCAGUUCUUUAAAGUUGACAACUGCUCAUAUUAGCCUCACUGUACAGAUGGGGAAACUGAGGGAAUACGGCCAAGGUUGCCAAGCAUGUGACUGUGAGAGCUGGUGGUCGCACUAGAUGCUGUCUCCUCUGCAGGGCAGGGUCACAGUUGUUGAGGACCAUUCUAGCAACCCCCACCUCAGGGGCUACUCCAGCUCUGCCCACUGCUGUGGGCCUGCCUGGGCAGGGUGGCUCCUUUGAAACACAUUUGGGCCCCCACAGAGGUGUGGUGCCAUGGCUGGGGCACAGACUAUGUGCCCAUCUGUGUGACGUAAGGAAGUCCUCUGUAGCGUCACCUGCUCAUACACCAGUCACAACUGUAGACAGCAUGUGAGCUGCUUGCCAAUGCCACAGAUGGGGUCCUCUGUCUGGGGAUACCCCAGCUUUGCUGCAGUAGUCUGAGUCCCACAGGAGGAAAGUCAUUUGUUGGUGGCCACACAAGACACAGAGCCAGAUGCAGGUCUCCUGGUAGUUUUAGUUUUGAAUGGGGGCAACUUGGUAUCCCAGAGCACUUUCUCUUUGCCAAAUCAAAUAGCUCCUCCGAACACUGCCCACCUGCCCUGGCCAUGGGCUGGGAAGAGGAGAUUUGGGGUGCUCCUUAAGCCCUAGGCUCCUGGGAAAACACUGCCCAUCUGGCUGAGCUGGGAACUCACCAUGGAGUCUGUGGAGGAUCCAAAUGCUGAGGCAGGGUUGAGUCUGGGCAGGAUACGGGGGGCCUCAAGAAGGCCUCUGUGGUGGCCAAGUCUUGCUGCCACCUGGAAGCAUCUCCUUAUCAUGGCCAAGUGCAAGGAUCCAGCCCUGCUUGGAUGGAGGGUCUUGGCUGACUCCCAAGGAGUGCUUUCAGCUGCACUUGGGGCCGCUUCUCUCCCUUCUGUUGCAGGCUUUCUUUCAGAGAGCUAGGCGAGGCUGGGCUGGUGUGCUGCAACACCCACAGAUGCUCGGCGCCUUUAGCUGGUCUAGGAGCCCCACCCAGUGCUUGGGGAGGGACAGAUGCUGCUUGGGCAUGAAAAGGCAGCAGGACUGGCUUGAGUUGCAAAAGGAGUAAACAAGUACAUAAACAAAUAGUAUGGGGUAUAUAGAGCCUUGGAGAGCUGCCUGGGGGUUCUGAGGGAGAAUCCAAGAAUAUUUCCAGAAGGAUAAGGGAAGCCUGUCCCUUGAUUGGAGGGUGCUGGUGGAGUGUUCUUGGUAUGUGCUCUGCAGUGUAUACCGGACUCUGAAAACUCUGGUAUGAUUUUGUGACUCAGAAAACCAACUCACAGCCUUAGACACCUCUUUUUUUUUUUUUUUUUUUUUUUUGGUGAGACGGAGUUUCAAUCUUGUCGCCCAGGCUGGUGUGCAAUGGCGUGAUCUCGGCUCACUGCAACCUCCGCCUCCUGGGUUCAAGUGAUUCUCCUGCCUCAGCCUCCUGAGUAGCUGGGAUUACAGACACACACCACCACACCCAGCUAAAUUUUGUAUAUUUUUUUUAGUAGAGAUGGGGUUUUGCCAUGUUAGCCAGGCUGGUCUUGAACUCCUGACCUCAGGUGACCUCCCAAAGUGCUGGGAUUACAGGCGUGAGCCACCGCACCCGGCCAACACCUCUUCUUAUAUCCCGGACAAGGGUUAGCACAGGAGAGUUUCACCUGCUGGUCUCUGGCUGGGGAUAGGAGUUGGAGGUGGGGGAGGGCUUGACAGGGAGGGCAGAAAAUAAUUUGGGAGGAAACAGCUUGGCAGGGAUACUCUCAUUUUUAAAUUGACUAAAAUAAAAGCAUGUUCUAAAGAUCAGUCCUCGCGCAGUGGCUCAAGGCUGUAAUCUCAGCAUUUUGGGAGGCCGAGUGAGACCUUGUCUUAAAAAAAAAAAAAUCAGAACUGUGCAAAGGUGGAAUCAUAACAGUGAUGAUGACGAUAAUAAUAGUUGUGAUGAUUAUGACAUUUUGGCAGGUUCCAAAAGAUGAAACUGAUUUAAUGCGGAAAUUUAAAAGAUUUGGUUCACCCUCUGUAUUUGGUUGCCCUAGAAGAAGACUAGAAUAUAAAUAUUUCCCCUCACCUCCUGCAAAGGUUUGAAUUAAACUUCCUCAAGGACUGGGGGAACCAUUUUUUUUUGUUGUUGUUAUUUUGUCAGAGUCUCACUCUUAUUGCCCAGGAGUGCAGUGGCACCAUCUCGGCUCACUGCAACCUCUGCCUCCCAGGCUCAAGCAAUUCUCCUGCCUCAGCCUCCCAAGUAGCUGGGAUUACAGGCGCUUGCUACUACGCCCGGCUAGUUUUUAUAUUUUUAGUAGAGACGGGGUUUCAUCAUGUUGGCCAGGCUGGUCUCAAACUCCUGGCCUUGGCUGAUCUGCCUGCCUCAGCGUCCCAAAGUGCUGGGAUUACAGGCAUGAGGCACCACGCCCAGCUGGAAGUUUUUUUGGUUGAUUCAGCCUCUGGGUCUAAGCAAAGAUAUUUGAGUUGGUUGCCAUCCCCAGAUAAGUGAGAAUAUCUGGCAGCACUCAUUUUCAGCCCUGGGCCGCAGCCGUUGCUGUGAGGCAGAAAUUAAAAAAAGAUAGUAAGUACUACAUUCAUUCACUCCAAGAAAAGUAACAGACAAGGCUAUAAGAAGGUCAUAGUGACCUAGUCUGAGAAGUAAAAGCCAAGGCCCAGAAUGUGGCAAGGCAAAGGUUAAAAAGAAAGGAAGAGCAAGUUUUUCUCUGCCUAGCAAGCUCACUUCAAAGACAAUUAUAAGAUAAUGCUCUUCGAGAAGUCGAAACCAAAGGAAUAGGCUCCAGACAUCCCCCGUCUGGAGCAAGGGUGAAGGAAAAAAAAAAAAGGACAAAUGUCUGUCUGUAUUUAGCCAGUUCUUGUUUUUUCUUUCCACGCAGCUACAAGGCCACCAGCUAUGCAAAGCCACAAGUUAUGCCAAGUCAUCAGUUAUGCUAUAGAUUAUGUGACCUGUCAUUAUAUGAUUAACUGCCUGUUUUGCUUCUGUAAGCCUGCUUAUAAAAAUCCUGCUCAGUCUUUGUUCAAUGCUCAGCUUUUUGGAUGUGAAUCCACUGAGCCAAUGCCUACCUUAAAAUAAACAUCGUCCUGUUUUUCCAUA